rnacentral:rRNA from 1 species
UACAGAGGGGGCAAGCGUUGUUCGGAAUCAUUGGGCGUAAAGAGCGUGUAGGCGGUCCGGUAAGUCCGCUGUGAAAGUCGGGGGCUCAACCCUCGAAUGCCGGUGGAUACUGUCGGGCUAGAGUGCGGAAGAGGCGAGUGGAAUUCCUGGUGUAGCGGUGAAAUGCGCAGAUAUCAGGAGGAACACCUAUUGCGAAGGCAGCUUGCUGGGACGGUACUGACGCUGAGGCGCGAAAGCGUGGGGAGCAAACAGG